UUCUUUCAAUCUCUCCUCACAGGGCUUUGUUUCCAGUCCCCUCCUCUGAACCCUUUCCAGUUUGUCUGCAUCUUUUUAAAACCAGAACUGCCCAGAACUGGAUAGGACCAAGAAUGCUACGGGAAGACUCAAAAAGAAAGUAAGCCCUGGAUAGCUUCAUUCUGAUUUGCACAUUACUCCAGGAGUUGCAGAUCAGGACACUCAAUUUCAGAAGGCAGGAUCCGAAACUGCUGCCGCCAUAUCUGCCAUGCUAGCAGGAUACACUAUUCACACACAGGAGCUUGCACCCACGAAAAGAAUCUAGCAAACGAGUGGAAACGCUCAUUUUCAACUGGGGCUGGUCAGCUUCACUGACGUGCCCUGUCCUAGGAAUGAGUUACUGAUUGCUUCAGGAUCUGCUACACUAGCAGUGGCUCCCACUAGCAUCAGAGCAAUGUUGGACACAGCCCGCAAUUCACAACAAUACAUCUGUUCUCCCUGCUCUCCUGGAAGAAUGAGCGGGGUCAGAACAGGUGGAGCAUUUCUGCACCUCCACACCAUUUUGAAAGGAGCACUUCCUCAUCUGUUCUGAGAUCAGCUACCUUUGCUUUGUUAGGUGAGAUCAGCUGUUGUCAGAGCCAGUCUGGAAAGAACUUCUGCCUUCAAGGGCUGGAUGAGCAGCGGUAUUUCUGUCUGCAUUUCUUUUCUCCCUCCAGGAGCCUGGGACAUGGUGAUGGCAAAUCAUUCCCACUACCUUUACUGAGCUAUUGAUUGUUUUGAGUGUUGGACUGAGGAUCUCUCUCCCUUGAAAUAUUAAGCAUUCCUAUCUGGUGUCUCCCCCAGGAGAUAGAAACUGUUUGGACCAAGCCCAAUAUGUUAUUUCUUCUGUCGGCGACUUCAGCAUCAUACUCCCGCUGGCUCUUGGGAGACUGAGAGUCACACCAAGGCAGCAUGACGUGCUGAGCAGUGUCUUUGAUAACAAGCAACUUUAUCAAUAGGGCAUCUCCAUUCUUUCCAGAUAGGAGGCGCCUGCACUCAUCUUCAAAAUUAGAUAGUGCUAUUUAUAAAAGAAUAAAACGUUACAUCAAGCUGCUCCUUUAAAACAGAAUCAAGUGACCAAGAUAAACCUCACAGCAGUGGGAAGAGCUACAAACAGAACUUUUGAAACUGAGAAGCUGCAAAGCCAGAGGAUAUAACUUUGCCUGAAGCUGGAGAGGUUGCAAUACAGGCCAAACUCUCUGGAGAAGGCUUUCCGCAUGGGAGAAUUGCCAGUGCUGCAAAGGCCGCUCCUUAGCAGCACCUAGUCUGUCUUAUUCAGCGAGGCCUCUGAAGAUGUUCCUACAGUGUGGCUAGAGAGAUAGACCAACUGAUGGAUCGAGCAAUAUGAGAAAGACACGACCCUUCAGGAAGAAGAAGGACCUGUUAAGCAAGGACUCCCCCCGCCCUCCCAAGCUCCUCUUCUCUGCCUUCUGUAGGUUCUUACAUGCUCUGUUACACAAAGCAAGCUGGUGUUGUGGUACAGAGUGGAAUUUAAAAUCCACUCAAAUACUGCAUUAUCCUUGCUUUAAAAAAUAAAGCUACAAAAAUUACUAGAAAACUUGGGAAAGGCUUUGAACAUUAGGUAAAGAACCCAUAAACGUCUGUGGAGUGAGGGCUCAAGAGCAUAUCAAACAGUGUCAUGUAGAGCACUCCUACUUAAAAGGUUUUUCAGACGGUUGGCACAGUAAAUAAAUGUAGGUCGAGGAAAAAUGAGAGGGAGGGAAGAAGAGAA